GGCUCGGGGCAGAGCAAUUAAAGGAUUUUCUCUACAACCUGUUGAGGCCUCCUGAGCUUCAACAGUGGAGGGGGAAGCCACUGUGUAUUUGCCAGACUUCACAUCUCACCUUGGAGCAAGUCAAGAGACAGGCAGGAAGAGCCUGUGCUACCACACCUGGGAUGGAUGCCUGCAGCCAUUCUGCCUCUGGCUCGGGUUUGGGUUCUGCUCCCUCUUGGGACCAGACCCUUCAUCUCAGCUCACAGAUGGACUGGAUGGUCCUGCCUCCCAGGACUCUGCAAGGCGCAGGCUGUGCUGCCAAGUAGGAGACACAUUGCCCUCUGACCUGUCCAGAUGUCUGUCUGCUGCUUCCCACCACCUUCUUGUCUUAGUUCUUAGGAGGCCAUAGUGCCCCUUUAACUGGUUACUCCCUGCCAUGCAUGGCCUGUACAUGUCAGGGUUGAGGCUCCUGUGUGAGCAGAGGGGCAGGAGCACAGGAGGAUGUCAGUGUCCAUCAUGAUCCAGAAGCACGAUGUCCUGUGUGCCAGGACCAGUCACCACAGAGGGCAAAAGGCUAAGGAGGUGCUGGGCUCAGGGAGGGGGUAGAGGCCCUGCAAAGACUUACAGGCAGGGAAGGACUAGCAAAGAUUGCCCGCGGAACUAGGACCCUCCUGACGGCCUUUCUUGCGUCCCAGAGGAUCCCCUCAAUUGUGCAAGGUGUUCCCUAACCGCGCUGGAGAGUUACAGAGGCAGCAUCAGGUGGGAAAGAGCACUGCCCGGGAGGCAGAAGGCCCAGUUUUUAUUACCAUAAACAGUAGCUAUUAUUAAAUAAUAAUAGCUGGACAGCUAGUAUGCGGCGCCAUUCCCACCCAUGUGGGUUUCACAGCCGUUUCCGGUGCAGCCAACCCCGUGCAGGUCUCCAGGACCGAGAACUCUCAUAAGGAGCGCACCGUGGCCGGGCAAUGGCAGGGUGGGCUUCAGUACCAACCGGUAAUCAAAGUCCGGGUUCCAAGCCCACCCAGUCACCCCUCUGGCCCCAAGCCAGAUGCCAGCGUCGGGGCUAGGUCCUCCCAGUCGACCAGACAUCGCUCAUUCCCGCGCACGGCCCCGCCCUUGUGUUAUAGCCCCUCCUUCGUGGUGGUGGUGGUGGUGGUGGGGAGACCCUUCGCUCAGCCCGCCUCCCGGCUUCAGCGCAUCCCAGUCCUUUUUUCCGGUCCACCUAGUUUAGACCCGGCUUAGGCUUAGGCGAUACCUGUAUCAGUUGGCCCCGCCCGAAGGAGACCUCAGGUAGCGAGGGCAAGGCCUCCGGGAGAGGAGGCUCAAGCGCAGCCACCCAGGGGCUGCGGUGGCCCCUGCAGAGCGCACCCGCUGCCCCCAGGUAUAGGCCAGGUCAGGAUCGGUGCCCCGCCUGCACACGGGCGGGGCAGCUGUUUGUUCAGCGGGAUGGGCCUUCUCAGUAGGCGGUUCUCCGCAAAUGAGCGGAUCCGGGUGGGCCCGGCAGGCAGGCCCGAGCGGUCAGGUGCCCCAUGCCCCAAGCCCGGGACUUGCUCUAGCCAUGGCCGAGCGGCACGAGAGCUGGGGGGUCCGCCUGGCCCGCCGCCUGGCUGGGUUAGGGAUCCGCAGGGAGCGCAGGGGGAAGCAGACCCCAGAGGAAGCCAGAGCCCGGGAUAGGCCCUGGGGUGGCCAGAGCUGCCCCGACCUGGCCCAAGGCCAGAGCAGCACCAACAAUGUCAGCCUCAAGACCCAAGCCAAGAGCCGCUCAGAGUGGGACCUUCAGGAUGGGAGCCGUGGUCCCUGGCUUUGGAAGCGAAGACACAGCUCAGGGGGGCCUGCUCAGCCCCUGGGGCGCCUACAGAGGCCAGCUGUGGGCAGCGCCUCUGACAUGGCCAACUAUGCCUCCAUGGGCCUGGAGAGCCCAGCGCUGGCAGCAGACUCUGCUGGUGCCAGGUGCCCCUCAUGCCCGGUGCCAGCUCCUGGAUAUUUGGAAGAGGGAACCCCAGACUGCCCUUGCUCACAACCCCCAUACAUGGCCCCAGAGGUCCCUCUGAAUCCUGAGCCACCUGGUAAUGUGAAAGACAUGCUGCCCCGCCCAGCAUCCCUCCUCAAGGCAGAGGGGACAAAGGGCAAGCCUGCCACCCCAGAGCCAGCGCUGCCAGAAACAGCCCAGAUCCAGCCUGAGUGUCCUUCUGCCAGGAGGACCCGCUACCACAUCACUGUCAUCCUGCAGGGGCGUGGGCAGACUGCUGGGGAAGAGGGUGAGGAGCCCAAACCGGCCCAACAAGCUCUCCACCCCUUCUGCCCUGAGGAAUUCAGGGGCUGGCAAAAUCCUCCCCAGGGGCUCCGCCCCAUCACGGGGUGCCCAACUGACCCACCCCAGGAGUCCCGGUUAAGAGCUUCACGGCAUCAGGAAAGCUCAGCCCAGCAGCAGGAGCUCCAGGCCCCCUGGAUACCUGGGUCCCCACACAGACGGGAGCUGGGCCAGACCGAACCAAGUACUCUUCAGGACGGGCUGCUGGAGCCCAGCAUGGAGGAGGCAGGCAGGUCCCCAGCUCGGACAGAGGCCCGAGUGGUGAGUGCCAGACUGGCAUGGCAGCAGCGGCCCCCUGCCCAGGAAGAGAGCAGACAUCGUUUUCACAAGGUGUCCUUGGUAUCGGAGGCCCACGUGGAAGCCCCUCAGAAGGAGAUGUUUGAGUACAGUCACCGUGGAGAGGGAGUCAAUGGUUUUGCUGCAGGGGGAGAAGAGACUGUGAAUCACCGAGGCCCCCGAGUUGGGGCUGACUCCAAGAGCUUCCAGAGCCAUGGGCCCAUCUUUUCCAAAAAGUACACACUACCUCCCAGGGAUAAGAGGCUGGUGGGGAGGCUGAAAGAGGCUGUGGACCAGAGUGAUGGCAGCUCCCAAGACCCUAGGACUGAGCCACCAAGCCUGGGAGCCAUAGCAAGGAGUGAGCUCUUGGUGCCCCUGCCUGGGCCCCGUGAGCCAAGCCCCCACCCAGGUACGAGCCUUGAGAAACGGCGGGUGACACGCACUGUGCGGACCACUGUAGUAGUAGGAGGGCAUGUGGACCAACGGGUGAGAAGCUCUGUGACCUUGGAGCCAGUGCUGCCUAGGGGCCGCAGUGUUGUCCGGGCGGUGGUGGUGAGCCCCAGGGUUGAGGGCUUGCCCAGCCGCAGUCAGGCCCUGGAGCUGCUAAGUAGUAUUGUGCCUGCUGAGCAAAAGCCACCUGCCAGCAGGCUUCCCCGGCCCAUGGCUCCGGUGCCAAGGAGUGCAGGUCUGAGCAGCACAGUGGACACAGCCCUGGGACAGCUCCCCGAGAUGGAGAAACCAGAGCCAAAAGACAGAUCUGCCCCAGACCCUGUAGGUAUCCCAGAGGGUGCUCACUCACCUCAGAACCAAGAGGUCCCUGCAGCCCGCCCAGACCAAGACCAGGUCCGAGCUUGGGACACUACGGACCAUGAGGUCCCAAGGGUGCAGGGAGCCUCUAACCCCCCCACCCAGCUCUCCCUCCACACCUCUCAGGGCCACACACCAGUACCCUCUCCUCCCAGACUCCAGACCCACACCCCUUCCCCAGUCCUAGACCACGUUCCCGAGCAGCCUGUGGUGCCCUCUCACCCCAGAGUCCAGCUCAUCCUUGACCCCCAGGGACCCCAGGCCCUGCCCUCUGUAAAAAAGGAGGGGAUCACAGGUCCCCCUGCUGCCACCGUCAUGCCUAUGGGAACCAGUGAGGCUGCUACUGUUCCUGGACAACCUCCAUCCUCUCCAAGAAGGAAGUGUAUCCCCAGCCCAGAAAAUCUGUCUGCUCCCUCUUCCCCAAGGAAUAAGGUUGUUCAGGACUCUGAAAACGGCCCUAUCUUCCCCUUUACCCAGAAAGAGACAGUGGAGGUCCCUGAUAUUCCUGCUGACACAGCCCCCACCCACAAAGGGGUUGUGCAGGGUCCCGGUACUCCUGCUGCUUCAUCCCCCAAACCAACUGAGGUUGUCCAGGAUCCAGAAGGCAGGCCUAGCACCCCCCCAAAAGUCAUCCAGGGUAUUGAGAGCAGCCAUGGCUCUUCCCUCACCAAGGAAGAGUCUGUUCAAGGCCUGAUUGCUCCUGCAAUCCCAUCCUCCCACAAGGAUGAGGUUGUCCAGGACUCUGAAGGGAGCCCCAUCUCAUCUCCCACCCAAACCCAAAAGGAGGUUGUCCAGGGCCCUGCUGUUCUCCCUGCUCCCUCCUCCUCAGUGGGCGAGGUGCCCCCCAGCCCAGGAGGACCCCCAGACCCAGAGCCAAUGGGAACAGGGGCCAGCCCCGAGUCCCGGCUUGUCCCUGACUCCACUGAAGACAAGACGCUCCUGCAGUCAUUGAGGGACGAGGAGGAGGUGGCCCUGGAUGCCGACCUGGAGACUUUCCUGGACACCCUGCGGAGCAUGGAGUCCCCUGAGAUCCUCCGCACUCACCGGCUGCCACGAGCGCCCCGCUCCUCCUACCUGGCCAUGUACGCCACGCUACCCGCUAUUGAGGAGGACCAGCCCAGGCCAGGGGCACUGGGACCCAGCCCCCAGGAGGUGCCUGCACUGGAAGAAAAGGAAGAAGAGGAGGAAGAGGAGGAGGAACCAGAGAACCCCUACCUGAGUGAUGAUGAGAAGCUCCAGCGCAGGCAGGAGAAAGCCUGGGGCCUCUGGGACUCCGGCCCUACCAGGCCCCACCAGACCUCUUCUUCUCCUCUGGAGAUGAUGAAGAAGCAUGUCACAGAUGCCAAGCGCUCCCAGUCAGAGCCAGGGUCAGAGUGGCAGACGGGCACGAGGCCUACUUCCCGCCUUGGAGGCAGUCUUUUCUUUGGUGGUCUGGUGCCUACCACCAAGGAGGUCCUCACCUUCGGAUCACUGGGCACAAAACUCUCUGCUCUGCCUCCCCAUGAGGCACCAGGGCUCAGAAAGGUGCCAGGACAGCUGCCCCUGCUCUGCAGCGAAAAGUUGCCGACAGAGAAGGCUGAAUGUGCUGGGCCCCCUGAGGGCUGGAGUUCAGCACCGAAGACCCAGGGCAAACUGAACACCAGGCCAGGAAAGGUGAUCCUCUUCUCAGAGCCCGGCUGCCAAGGCAGCAGCAGGGAGGUUUGGGAAGACAUUGCUGAUGCCUCCGGCUGGGCCCAGGUGGCCUCCAUAAGGGUGCUUCGAGGCUGCUGGGUGCUAUAUGAAGAGCCAGAGUUCCAGGGCCAGAAGCUGGUCCUGCCUGAAGGAGAUGUGGAACUCAGGGCCUCAGGGACAGCGUGGAGUCUCAAAAGCAUCGGGUCCCUGAGGAGGGUUGUCCAGGACUAUGUUACCCCAGAGAUCAGCCUGUACUCUGAGAAGGGCCUCCAGGGGGAGCAAGUGAAGCUAACCGAGCCCUUGGAGGACCCCCAGAGCCUGAAGAGGCCCAUGCAGGUGGCAUCUGCCACUGUCUCUGCAGGACUGUGGCUGCUGUACCCCAAACCCUUGUUUGAAGGCACUCCCUGCAUCCUGGAACCUGGAGAGUACCCCAACUCUGAGGCCUGGGGUACAUCAGACCCCAGUGUGGGCUCCCUGAAGCCCAUAAAAUUGGGCUGCCCAAGAGUGGAGAAGCCAGGGGAGCCCAAGGCUGUGGUGUAUGAGGCCCCAGGCUUUCAGGGCCAAAGCUGGGAAGUGAGCCGAGACAUCUACAACCUUCAGCAGCCAGAGGACAGUCACAGCCCCCACCUGGCCUCUGUGGGGUCCCUGCAAAUUCUUGGAGGCUGCUGGGUGGGCUAUGAGAAGGAAGGCUUCAGGGGCCACCAGUAUCUGCUGGAGGAGGGGGAAUACCCUGACUGGUCACACUGGGGAGGCUAUGAUGAGGCGCUGAUCUCCCUACGGGUCAUCAGGACGGCCACACUGAUCACCUCACCCCAAAGUCCCCUGCUGGUCUGCCUCCCUGGGGUCUGGUUACUCCCAGGGGUUUCAGUGGGUGGGCGGGAGAGACCUGACUGUCCCUGGGGCCCAGGACUUCUCGGAUCCGGCUGUGGUGCUGUUUGAGGCCAUGGACUUCGAGGGGCACCACGUAGAGGUGAGCGAGGCACUGCCGGACGUGGAGCUGGCGGGACAUCGCACUCACACGCAGUCUAUCCACGUGCUCAGCGGCGUGUGGGUGGCCUAUCAGGAGGUGGGCUUCUCCGGGGAACAGUUUGUGCUGGAGAAAGGAGUGUACCGCAACUGCGACGACUGGGGCGCAGGCAACAGCGCCCUCGCUUCGCUUCAGCCGGUCCUGCAG